rnacentral:rRNA from 1 species
AUUGAACGCUGGCGGCAUGCCUUACACAUGCAAGUCGAACGGCAGCACGGGAGCAAUCCUGGUGGCGAGUGGCGAACGGGUGAGUAAUGUAUCGGAACGUACCUUUCAGUGGGGGAUAACGUAGCGAAAGUUACGCUAAUACCGCAUAUUCUGUGAGCAGGAAAGCAGGGGAUCGCAAGACCUUGCGCUGAUUGAGCGGCCGAUAUCAGAUUAGCUAGUUGGUGAGGUAAAGGCUCACCAAGGCGACGAUCUGUAGCGGGUCUGAGAGGAUGAUCCGCCACACUGGAACUGAGACACGGUCCAGACUCCUACGGGAGGCAGCAGUGGGGAAUUUUGGACAAUGGGCGCAAGCCUGAUCCAGCCAUGCCGCGUGAGUGAAGAAGGCCUCGGUUGUAAGUA